rnacentral:lncRNA from 1 species
GUUCUUAAUUAUCGCUUUCCUCGAAAGUCACGAAACAAGCUUCUUCCAUGAAGGUUUUUGGUAACCGUCAGUCAACGUCGUACUAAAGAAAGUGAUACAACUUCACACGCUACAGCUUUCUUUCACCUCUUUAUUCUAUUCUAAAGGUUAAACCCCAAGCUUGAAGUUUUCACCGUUUCGUCACUAGAGCUUUUUUUAUUAUUAUU